UGAUUAUCUCAGGAUCCAAUCACAAGGUC
rnacentral:piRNA from 1 species